UACGAAGGGUGCAAGCGUUACUCGGAAUUACUGGGCGUAAAGGGUGCGUAGGUGGUUGUUUAAGUCUGUUGUGAAAGCCCCGGGCUCAACCUGGGAAUGGCAAUGGAUACUGGACAGCUAGAGUGCGGUAGAGGGUAGUGGAAUUCCCGGUGUAGCAGUGAAAUGCGUAGAGAUCGGGGAGGAACACCAGUGGCGAAGGCGGCUACCUGGACCAGCACUGACACUGAAGCACGAAAGCGUGGGGAGCAAACAGG
rnacentral:rRNA from 1 species